GCAGCUGUCAUAUUUUGGAUAUGUAAUGCAUGCAGAGCAUGGACUGGAAAAGACGAUUAUGCUUGGAAAGGUCGAGAGAGACAGGAGAAGAGGACGACAACAAACAAGAUGGAUAGAUAGGAUCAAGACAACUACUGGAAAGACUUUGAGAGAACUGUGUGACCUGACUAAAAACAGGUCUGAAUGGCGAGCAUUUGUCCACACAGUCACCAGAAGUCAAACUCGACUUGAUGGCACCUAACAACAACAACAGUUAUCAGUAAAUUUAUGUAAUCUUGAUUCAGUUGCUAAGCAUACAUUAACAAAUUUUAUAGUCUAAAGUGUUUGAUGUUUUGUUUAAAAAUCCAUAAUAGUUUUACUGCUUUAUUAAUACAUCAAUUAAUAAAUAAAUAAAAUAAGCACUGUGGAGCAGUUGUGAUAAACACACAGACUUUUAAUGCUAAC
rnacentral:lncRNA from 1 species